rnacentral:rRNA from 1 species
GCGACGGUUGUCCCGGUUUAAGCAUGUAGGCGGGAAGUUUAGGUAAAUCCGGACUUCUUUUAACGCUGAGGUGUGAUGACGAGGCACUACGGUGCUGAAGUAACAAAUGCCCUGCUUCCAGGAAAAGCCUCUAAGCAUCAGGUAACACGAAAUCGUACCCCAAACCGACACAGGUGGUCAGGUAGAGAAUACCAAGGCGCUUGAGAGAACUCGGGUGAAGGAACUAGGCAAAAUGGUGCCGUAACUUCGGGAGAAGGCACGCUGAUAUGUAGGUGAAGUGAUUUACUCAUGGAGCUGAAAUCAGUCGAAGAUACCAGCUG